GCACGUGCCGCCAUGGCCAGUUUGAUGGUCCGUUUUGAGAAGUAAAACAACCUUCUUGAGCUGGAAGAGGAAAGAUGUCAGAGUCCCAGCAAGAAGACCCUAAGCUUAGGACUUGCGCUUUGUGGAAAGAAGGGUCUCCAGGGUAACGGUGUCUCUUGACUCCUUUUGCCCAUAUAACAGCUUUUGGCUCCGAGGCUUUUUUCUUAAGCACAAGUACCAACUUCUGUCAGUAGCAAGCAUCACCAGCUAUGUUGGGACCAGGAAUAAAGAGUGAGGGUCCUGAAGAGUAGGUGCCACCCUUCCCCUGUCUCAGGAAGCCAGGACGCCUCGCUAGCUGGAAACCAGUCAGAUGAGAUCUUUAUGGCUUCCUAUUAAAUGGGAUGUAUACAGGCAUUUUUUUCCUUCCUUAGGGAAAGCACAGGAAUUUGGGAGGAACCUAUGGGCCACUCAGAAGUAUGAACAUUCAAGAUGUUUGGAGAAGAGCUUUCCCUCCGGGGCCAGGUGCAACAGGACUGGGGAGAUAGGAAGCCUUUUCUUUAUAGCUUGCUGUUGUGAAGGGAAAGGAAUUGCUUUGCCCAUCUGCCCAACCAUUGGAGUUCAAUGGCAAAAAGGAAGUAAGAGCUCAGAAGGGUUAAUUCUGAAGAUCUGGCAGCUCCUUGUGAAGCCCACAGGGAGAAAAGCAGCCUCCCUGGUCUAAUUACCCACUGAAAGCUGGGUGGGAGUCUGUGUCUGCAGGAAGCUCCUGCCCUACCUGUCUGAAUAGUUAGGCUGCAGCCUGCUUCGUUUUUAAUGUUAUCCACUGCCCUCUCUUCUGUUCAUUGCGAUUUUCUGUCCUCCUCACCUCUGGAUACCCUGGCACCUUCACUUGAAACAUUGUCACUGGAGAGCUCGGCUUUGACAGAAACCUCUCUGAAAUUAUUUUUUGUCCUGUUCUGGCUUGCACUUGAAUAAUUCUCC
rnacentral:lncRNA from 1 species